UACGUAGGCAGCGAGCGUUGUUCGGAGUUACUGGGCGUAAAGGGUGCGUAGGCGGUUUUCCAAGUUUGGUGUGAAAUCUCCCGGCUUAACUGGGAGGGUGCGCCGAAAACUAGGAGACUUGAGUACCGGAGAGGUAAGCGGAAUUCCUGGUGUAGCGGUGAAAUGCGUAGAGAUCAGGAGGAACACCUGUGGUGUAGACAGCUUACUGGACGGUCACUGACGCUGAGGCACGAAAGCGUGGGCAGCAAACAGG
rnacentral:rRNA from 1 species